rnacentral:rRNA from 1 species
CUAGGGGUGGCAGCAGUGGGGAAUAUUGGACAAUGGGCGAAAGCCUGAUCCAGCCAUGCCGCGUGUGUGAAGAAGGCCUUCGGGUUGUAAAGCACUUUCAGUGGGGAAGAAAGCCUUGGGGCUAAUACCCUCGAGGAAGGACAUCACCCACAGAAGAAGCACCGGCUAACUCCGUGCCAGCAGCCGCGGUAAUACGGAGGGUGCGAGCGUUAAUCGGAAUUACUGGGCGUAAAGCGCGCGUAGGCGGUCUGAUAAGCCGGUUGUGAAAGCCCCGGGCUCAACCUGGGAACGGCAUCCGGAACUGUCAGGCUAGAGUGCAGGAGAGGAAGGUAGAAUUCCCGGUGUAGCGGUGAAAUGCGUAGAGAUCGGGAGGAAUACCAGUGGCGAAGGCGGCCUUCUGGACUGACACUGACGCUGAGGUGCGAAAGCGUGGGUAGCAAACAGGAUUAGAUACCCUGGUAGUC